AGCGAACGCUGGCGGCAGGCCUAACACAUGCAAGUCGAACGGAUCCUUCGGGAUUAGUGGCGGACGGGUGAGUAACACGUGGGAACGUGCCCUUUGGUUCGGAACAACUCAGGGAAACUUGAGCUAAUACCGGAUGUGCCCUUCGGGGGAAAGAUUUAUCGCCAUUGGAGCGGCCCGCGUCUGAUUAGCUAGUUGGUGAGGUAAAGGCUCACCAAGGCGACGAUCAGUAGCUGGUCUGAGAGGAUGAUCAGCCACAUUGGGACUGAGACACGGCACAGACGCCUACGGGAGGCAGCAGUGGGGAAUCUUGCGCAAUGGGCGAAAGCCUGACGCAGCCAUGCCGCGUGAAUGAUGAAGGUCUUAGGAUUGUAAAAUUCUUUCACCGGGGAUGAUAAUGACGGUACCCGGAGAAGAAGCCCCGGCUAACUUCGUGCCAGCCGCCGCCGUAA
rnacentral:rRNA from 1 species